GGCCGCGGGAAUUCGAUUCAGGCCUAACACAUGCAAGUCGAACGGCAGCACGGAGCUUGCUCUGGUGGCGAAAGGCGAACGGGUGAGUAAUAUAUCGGAACAUACCCUGGAGUGGGGGAUAACGUAGCGAAAGUUACGCUAAUACCGCAUACGAUCUACGGAUGAAAGUGGGGGAUCGCAAGACCUCAUGCUCGUGGAGCGGCCGAUAUCUGAUUAGCUAGUUGGUAGGGUAAAAGCCUACCAAGGCAUCGAUCAGUAGCUGGUCUGAGAGGACGACCAGCCACACUGGAACUGAGACACGGUCCAGACUCCUACGGGAGGCAGCAGUGGGGAAUUUUGGACAAUGGGCGAAAGCCUGAU
rnacentral:rRNA from 1 species